GUCGUGAGAUGUUGGGUUAAGUCCCGCAACGAGCGCAACCCUUAUCCUAUGUUGCCAGCACGUAAUGGUGGGGACUCGUAGGAGACUGCCGGGGUCAACUCGGAGGAAGGUGGGGACGACGUCAAGUCAUCAUGCCCCUUAUGUCCAGGGCUGCAAACACGCUACAAUGGCCGGUACAAAGGGCUGCAAACUCGUGAGGGUGAGCGAAUCCCAUAAAGCCGGUCUCAGUUCGGAUUGUAGGCUGCAACUCGCCUGCAUGAAGCUGGAGUUGCUAGUAAUCCCGGAUCAGCACGCCGGGGUGAAUACGUUCCCGGGCCUUGUACACACCGCCCGUCACACCACGAAAGUCGGCAACACCCGAAGCCGGUGGCCUAACCGUAAGGAAGGAGCCGUCGAAGGUGGGGUCGGUGAUUGGGGUGAAGUCGUAACAAGGUAGCCGUACCGGAAGGUGCGGCUGGAUCACCUCCUUUCUAAGGAGCUACUGUUCAAUCGUUGGCCGGCAUUCGUCCGGCCCGGUUCGAACCAGUUCCCAGUUGGUGCAUUGGUGGGUAGGUCGAACCCUGAACGAGGGUCGAGGAUCCGUCCUCCUCUCGAUCUCGAAUCGACACACUUUGUCUUCUCUUCCGUUUUGAGGGAGCCGGACCACGGUCCGACCCUCGCGCACGGCAUGGGCCUUCGGGCCCCACUGCCACGGCGUGUCCGGUGAGCGUCCCGUCCUCGUGACGGCGACGAUCCCGACGCCGGCGGUGCCCUUUGAGAACUGCAGAGCAAGCACGAGCAUCUUUGUUCUUCCAAGCUACAAAGAGCCAACGGUGGAUGCCUUGGCGCCAAGAACCGAUGAAGGACGUGAGUGACUGCGAAAAGCUGCGGGGAGCCGUCUACUGGGCCUCGAUCCGCAGAUGU
rnacentral:sRNA from 1 species